GUUGUAUGGUUAAGUGACUAAGCGUACACGGUGGAUGCCUUGGCAGUCAGAGGCGAUGAAAGGCGUAAUAACUUGCGAUAAGCCCAGAUUAGGUAGUAAUAACCUUUUGAGUCUGGGAUUCCUGAAUGGGGAAACCCAC
rnacentral:rRNA from 3 species